rnacentral:rRNA from 1 species
GACGAAGGGGGCUAGCGUUGUUCGGAAUUACUGGGCGUAAAGCGCGUGUAGGCGGUUGCCCAAGUCGGGUGUGAAAGCCUUGAGCUCAACUCAAGAAAUGCACUCGGUACUGGGUGACUAGAGGACCGGAGAGGAUAGUGGAAUUCCCAGUGUAGUGGUGAAAUACGUAGAGAUUGGGAAGAACACCCGUGGCGAAGGCGGUUCUCUGGGACGGUACUGACGCUGAGACGCGAAAGCGUGGGGAGCGAACAGG